GUGUCAGCCGCCGCGGUAAUACGUAGGGACCGAGCGUUGUCCGGAAUCAUUGGGCGUAAAGAGCGUGUAGGCGGCCCCUUAAGUCCUGCGUGAAAUCCUGCGGCUCAACCGCAGACGGUCGUGGGAAACUGGAGGGCUAGAGUGCGGGAGAGGAGAGUGGAAUUCCCGGUGUAGCGGUGAAAUGCGCAGAUAUCGGGAAGAACACCCGUGGCGAAGGCGGCUCUCUGGAACGCAACUGACGCUGAGACGCGAAAGCGUGGGGAGCAAACAGGAUUAGAUACCCCCGUAGUCC
rnacentral:rRNA from 1 species